rnacentral:rRNA from 1 species
AUGCGGCUCCGGCACUUCGCGUGGGGCCGCUAUGUCGUCGAGCUCAGCAGGGAGGGCCCCGCGAUGUGCCCCACGCAGCAGCAGCAGCAGCAGCAGCUGGCCCCGCCCGUCAUGCCCGGCUUCCUUGCGCCUCCCCUGCCCGCGCCUGCCCAGUCGCCGGCCCCGACGCAGCUGAGACGGACUUCAGGAAGGCGCUGGACUCGGCGCUGUUCCGGCGGUGGCUGGAGAACCUGCAGGCGGAGAAGGGCCUGCUCGCCCACGGGAACCUCAGCCCCCGGAGAUCCUCAUCCAGGGGGUGGACAUGUUUGGGAAGCGCGUGGGUUCCUCAAGUUCAAAGCCGACAUCGUCGACGAGGAAACCAAAGCCAAGAUGCAGAUGUUCGGGAUGGUGGAGAAGGAGAUGGAGUACCGGGUCGAGCUUUUCAACCGGCAAAUUUGGGGCUGA